UACAGAGGUGGCAAGCGUUGUUCGGAAUUACUGGGCGUAAAGGGCGCGUAGGCGGCCUUCUCAGUCGGACGUGAAAUCCCCAGGCUUAACUUGGGAACUGCGUCCGAUACUGGAUGGCUUGAGUGCGGGAGAGGGAUGUGGAAUUCCAGGUGUAGCGGUGAAAUGCGUAGAUAUCUGGAGGAACACCGGUGGCGAAGGCGGCAUCCUGGACCGGUAUUGACGCUGAGGCGCGAAAGCUAGGGGAGCGAACGGG
rnacentral:rRNA from 1 species